rnacentral:rRNA from 1 species
UAGGGAAUCUUCCACAAUGGACGCAAGUCUGAUGGAGCAACGCCGCGUGAGUGAAGAAGGUUUUCGGGCCGUAAAGCUCUGUUGUUGGUGAAGAAGGAUAGAGGUAGUAACUGGCCUUUAUUUGACGGUAAUCAACCAGAAAGUCACGGCUAACUACGUGCCAGCAGCCGCGGUAAUACGUAGGUGGCAAGCGUUGUCCGGAUUUAUUGGGCGUAAAGCGAGCGCAGGCGGAAGAAUAAGUCUGAUGUGAAAGCCCUCGGCUUAACCGAGGAAUUGCAUCGGAAACUGUUUUUCUUGAGUGCAGAAGAGGAGAGUAGAACUCCAUGUGUAGCGGUGGAAUGCGUAGAUAUAUGGAAGAAUACCAGUGGCGAAGGCGGCUCUCUGGUCUGCAACUGACGCUGAGGCUCGAAAGCAUGGGUAGCGAACAGGAUUAGAUACCCUGGUAGUCCAUGCCGUAAACGAUGAGUGCUAAGUGUUGGGAGGCUUCCGCCUCUCAGUGCUGCAGCUAACGCAUUAAGCACUCCGCCUGGGGGAGUACGACCGCAAGGUUGAAAC